UACGUAGGGUGCAAGCGUUAAUCGGAAUUACUGGGCGUAAAGCGUUCGUAGGUGGUUCGUUAAGUCCGUUGUGAAAGCCCCGAGCUCAACUUGGGAAUUGCAGUGGAUACUGGCGAGCUGGAGUGCGGUAGAGGAAGGUGGAAUUCCCGGUGUAGCGGUGAAAUGCGUAGAGAUCGGGAGGAACACCAGUGGCGAAGGCGGCCUUCUGGACCAGCACUGACACUCAAGCACGAAAGCUAGGGGAGCGAAUGGG
rnacentral:rRNA from 1 species